AAGCCUGGAUUCUGCAGAGAGCUGCAAUCUCUCUUACAGAAAGUUAUAGGCUACAACUAAAGACAUUUUGUGGCUUGAGAUGAGAAAGCUAUAAAUUUUGCUGCAUCUCAUCGUUUCUUUAAAGAUUUCUCUGCAUACACUAUCCACAAACCUCAGCUAAGAAGCAGUCUUUCAGGUUUCACACCAUGCUGCCCUGAAUACCCCUUGGUACCACAUCACCUUUGAAUGUGAAGGAGAGUUCCAACUUCUCAUCCUUCAUCAUCAGG